GAAGGAUACUGGAAUUCAGCAACAAAAUAAACUUUCUGCCAGGAAACAGCCAAAUAAAUGAUACCCUCUUUCACAGGUAAAUACGUGAAGAAAAUUCUUCAGUGAGCCCUGUCCCUGCCACGUGAAAGAUGACAGGGAACUGAGAGCAUGCAUGAGGUCCUGGGCUAAGCCCCAGCCCUGAGAUGGCAAAAGGACUACACCUAACUAGGGCAGCAAGUUAAGGAUUCAAGGGAUGAAACUCAGGUUGCCAGGCUUGCAUACCAAGUGCCUGCUGAGAUAUCUUCCUGACCUCAUUUCUGAUGCCAUCAAUUAUAACAGCAUUAGGAGCAUCCCGUCCAAUUCUGCUGCUGCUCUGUUUGGAUACCCCAGUCUUAAGUCCCAGGUGAAUCACUU